AGUGUGCUGGUAUAAAAGCAAUAUAAAAUCUGACAGAUGAACUGUUUGAAUUGUUUUUUGUUUUUACAGCCAGCCAGCUGAUUGCUCAGGAUGUAGGGACGGAUGAUGAUCCAAGUCAGUGCUCCAGAGCAAAACCUAAUAAUAUCAAGGAAAUUACUUCAUGUGAUGCAGCUGAAGUCUCCGAAGAAGUUGUUGUAACACAUACACCUCCUGCAAGUGCUGUGGAAGGAAAAGAUGAAUUUACCACUGAGCAGGAAAUAUUUGAUAAGACGAAGCAGAGUCUAGAAUCAAAUGAAAAUUCUGUAGAGGAUAAUCAACCUGUGAUAGUAAAACGGAAGAGAGGAAGGCCUCGUAAACAUCCUGUUGAAGAUGUACAGCCUGGUGGUGGUGGUGGGGAGUCAAAAGCUGAUAUGAGCACUGGCAAUCUGCAAUUUCCUACCUCUGCAAGUAGAGGGAAAAGUCCUCAAAGAGGUAAGCAAACCAUGGGAGAAGUCCAAGGGGAUGUUCUAGAAUAUCAGAUGAGUCCUUCUUAAAUAUUGUGUUUUAAAAUACAUAUUCAGAAAGAAAUCUAAUUAUUCAGUUAAUUACAUUAUCUGUGGAUAUGAAUUCAAAGAGGUAAGUGGCAGCUUGAGGGGAUAUUUCUUUCCCCUAUCACAACUUCUAUAAAAUCUUUAAGAUGAUUGCUUAGCGUCCAUUGGAAAUACUUUUAUUGUUACAAGCUGAAGUCACACUAAAAGAGAUUUUUAUAUUUCCCUUUUUCAUUCAGACACCUGUCAUUUGUAAGAAGUAAAAUUAUGAUGAAUUUUAAGCAGUGUAGUUAAUUACAGAUAAGUAAUCUGUACUGCAUUAGUUGUUUAGAUCCAUUUUAGUAAAAGCCAUUCAUAAAUAUAUUUUAAUAUAGACUCAGGAAGCUGAAAGGAAGUUGAAAAACGGCUUAUAAACAAAUACAAACAUUCAUGCCCUUUUAACUUGAAGUUGUUCUGCAUAUGGCUUUACAGUAGAUGCAUUCACACACAUAAUGGGAAGUGAAGUUUUCAGUCAGUGCAAUCAAACAGUUGGAAACAACUGGUUUCUAGAGGCAGCAUCCUACCUUAACAGUUCUCUUAUGUAAUUAGUAGUGGAAAGUAGGAUUAGUAGUAGGACUUCUGUGGAGAACUCUUCCUGUGUAAUUAGAAACAACUGACAGUAGGCUUGAAACCAAAAUUAUCCUUGCACUAUUUGCUGCUGAAAAGUUGAUAUGGCUUUUGUUAUUAUUAUUGCUAAUUGUUUUUAUACUUGAGCUAAAAGUACAACCUUUUCACUUAUUAGGAGAAAAUUGGGUCUGUUAAGAAAGGCGUGGCUUGUAGUUAAAUUGUCUUCUAUCACAGGGUAUUUGGUUAUGCAUUUGCCAACACUUACCAGGAUUUUAAAUACUUGCCUGCAGUACAUCAAAGAAUUAAUAAAUCUUUUUAAUAUGUUAAUUAGACUUAUAUUGUGUAAAACACUUAGUACAGUGUGCUGUUCUUCAUUUUAUUGUGCUUCUUCAUCAAAUAGUUGCAUGCUUGUACUUUAUUUCAUUUGUUCCUGUAUAGAAGAUUUUUCCCGUAAUUUGGACAACACAACUUCAGAGGACCUGUGUGUGUUUAAGAAUGUACCUCUGAUUUGAGACCUCUGUGUUGGUACAGCAAAUUGACAUUCUUCUGUAUUUGCUCUCUUGGUCUAAACAGUGAUGAAUGUAGAGUUUUUGGCCUUAUUUUUAGCUUUUAGAAACAAAAAUAGACAGCAAUUUUGUGGCAUAAAAAAAUGUUUAAAGAGAUGGUAUAAAAACCUCCAUGUUGUUUAGGAUGCUUCUCUCCUUCAGUGACUGGGGAUUUUUAUCAUUGCGAUAUUGCAGAUAACUCUAUUUGACAAACUUCAAACUUUAAAAAAUCAUCUUUCUUACCAUGGAGGCCAGCUUGGGACAACGUGCUUCAUAGAGUUCAUAAAAUUAUUUUGGUGUGCACAAGCCAGUCUGUAAGAACCACUGGAUUGAAAAACCAGGCUUCUUCAACAGAGAAGGUUAACUAAUUUGUAUGCCAGGUACUAGUCAGGAUUUAAAUGCUCCCUUGUUGAGCUACAGCUGUCUUGGUGCUUCACAGUAGAUAUAGUAAAGCAUUAGCCCAGAGGAGCUUUAUAUUCUGGUUUUAGAGACUUUUCAGAACUGCAUUGAACAAGAUCUUGAGCAGUAAGAUCACAUUUUGAGUUUAGCUGUACAUUGAGCAAGACUGGUCUAGAUGACCUCCAGAGACACCUUCCAAGCUAAAUCCUUCUUGAUUCUGCUGUUGGUUGACAGUAAAUAAAAUAGAUAUCUAACUUCUGCUUUUCCACUUAAAAAAA